UGUUUUGUAGUGAAGUUGGUUAACGCGUCCGGUCUAGCGAACUUAGGGAGUCGUGAGUUCUAAUCUCACCAGAACUA
rnacentral:tRNA from 1 species